GACGAACGCUGGCGGCGUGCUUAACACAUGCAAGUCGAACGAUGAAGCUACAGCUUGCUGUGGUGGAUUAGUGGCGAACGGGUGAGUAAUACGUGAGUAACCUGCCCUUGUCUUUGGGAUAAGCCUGGGAAACUGGGUCUAAUACCGGAUAUUCUGCUUUCAUCGCAUGGUGGGGGUUGGAAAGGGUUUCUGGAUAGGGAUGGGCUCACGGCCUAUCAGCUUGUUGGUGGGGUGAUGGCCUACCAAGGCGUCGACGGGUAGCCGGCCUGAGAGGGUGACCGGCCACAUUGGGACUGAGAUACGGCCCACACUCCUACGGGAGGCAGCAGUGGGGAAUAUUGCACAAUGGACGCAAGUCUGAUGCAGCGACGCCGCGUGGGGGAUGAAGGCUUUCGGGUUGUAAACUCCUUUCAGUACAGAACAAGGCCUUUUUGGUUGAGGGUAUGUGCAGAAGAAGCGCCGGCUAACUACGUGCCAGCAGCCGCGGUAAUACGUAGGGCGCGAGCGUUGUCCGGAAUUAUUGGGCGUAAAGCGAGCGCAGGCGGUUCUUUAAGUCUGAAGUUAAAGGCAGUGGCUCAACCAUUGUACGCUUUGGAAACUGGAGAACUUGAGUGCAGAAGGGGAGAGUGGAAUUCCAUGUGUAGCGGUGAAAUGCGUAGAUAUAUGGAGGAACACCGGUGGCGAAAGCGGCUCUCUGGUCUGUAACUGACGCUGAGGCUCGAAAGCGUGGGGAGCAAACAGGAUUAGAUACCCUGGUAGUCCACGCCGUAAACGAUGAGUGCUAGGUGUUAGGCCCUUUCCGGGGCUUAGUGCCGGAGCUAACGCAUUAAGCACUCCGCCUGGGGAGUACGACCGCAAGGUUGAAACUCAAAGGAAUUGACGGGGGCCCGCACAAGCGGUGGAGCAUGUGGUUUAAUUCGAAGCAACGCGAAGAACCUUACCAGGUCUUGACAUCCUCCUGACCGGUCUAGAGAUAGGCUUUCCCUUCGGGGCAGGAGUGACAGGUGGUGCAUGGUUGUCGUCAGCUCGUGUCGUGAGAUGUUGGGUUAAGUCCCGCAACGAGCGCAACCCCUAUUGUUAGUUGCCAUCAUUAAGUUGGGCACUCUAGCGAGACUGCCGGUAAUAAACCGGAGGAAGGUGGGGAUGACGUCAAAUCAUCAUGCCCCUUAUGACCUGGGCUACACACGUGCUACAAUGGUUGGUACAACGAGUCGCAAGCCGGUGACGGCAAGCUAAUCUCUUAAAGCCAAUCUCAGUUCGGAUUGUAGGCUGCAACUCGCCUACAUGAAGUCGGAAUCGCUAGUAAUCGCAGAUCAGCACGCCGCGGUGAAUACGUUCUCGGGCC
rnacentral:rRNA from 1 species